GACGAACGCUGGCGGCGUGCUUAACACAUGCAAGUCGAACGGAAAGGCCCUGCUUUUGUGGGGUGCUCGAGUGCCGAACGGGUGAGUAACACGUGAGUAACCUGUCCUUGACUUUGGGAUAACACCAGGAAACAGGGGCUAAUACCGGAUAGGAGCUCCUGCUGCAUGGUGGGGGUUGGAAAGUUUCGGCGGUUGGGGAUGGACUCGCGGCUUAUCAGCUUGUUGGUGGAGUAGUGGAAUACCAAGCCUAAGACGGGUAGCCGGCCUGGGAGCGUGACCGGCGACCUUGGUCCUGCGGGACGCCGCAGUCUCGUACGGGCGGCAGUGGGGGAAAGCAUUACGGAGUAAGCGCGAGUCUGAUACAGCGGCGCUGCGUGCGGAAUGCCGGCCUUCGGGUUAUAAACCGCUUUGGACUGUAACGAAGCGUUAGUGACGGUAAUGAGUAAGAAAGCACCGGCUAACUACGUG
rnacentral:rRNA from 1 species